rnacentral:lncRNA from 1 species
UCAUUGACCAAUCCAAUAUAUGAAGCUUCACCCAAUGAGAGUUUGGUGAGCCUCUUUACUGUCAGGCAGUUCCAUGCACAAAUACCCUGGCAAUUGGACAGCGCAAGCCGCUUGAGCCGCAAGUUCCGGUAUGCAUCCAGCUGCUUGAGGUCAUAGUACAGGCAGUAGCCAUCAACAACAAGCUCAAAAUCCUCAACAUCCCACUUGGCAAUGGCUGUGGUGAUCCAUUCAUCAAUAUUCUGAUGCCAACGCCCUAGCAUUUGGAGUCUCAGCUUCUGGACAGGCCGGCGUUGACGCACAUCCUUUGGAGCCAGAAGAAAUGCAUUCACCUGCUUGACAUAGCGUCGCAUGGCCCGACGCUCGUAGCGUUCUAGGAUGGCUGUGAGUGGUCUGAUCUUGGUCAUCCAACGCUCAUGCCGAGCCUUGAUGGCAUAGAUGUCAGUCAGCUUGUGCACAUUCUUCUCUGCCUCGUACGCUGCCUUAGCCUCAAUGGUAAGGCGCUUCAGGCGGUGGUAGCGUGGUGGGAGGAGGUCAUCAGCAGCGAGGUUAUAGGAUGUUGGCAAGCAUCGAGGAAGAUCACGCCAUCGCUUCGAAAGGAUGAUGGUUGUUAUUGUUGUGCGUGUGUCUAGCUUGCGGACGAUGAUGAGUAGUAUCUCCUCUGGUAAGGUGCUGAUCCUGUCCUCAUAACUGUCAUCUUUCUUGCCCAUACGAAUCUAGUUUCAUUUGUUAGAGACAUGGAAUUAUAGUCAGUGAAUGCAGAAUAUAGAAGCCACGACACCUAAGUGGGCCACUAUCUUUACAAAUAAUUAUCAAGACCACAAAUUAAGACCUCAAUCUCAUAUUACUAUUUAUUAAUAUAAAGGAAAUUGUUCCAGCCUUGGUGUUGUGGGAUGCACAAAGCCUAGAGGCGGCUACUGCACUAUUCCAAAGCUUAAGUCCAAGGCAAAUCCCAUAUUACUUCUACAGUUCCACCUAAAAAUUAUGAGCAAUUGUAUGAACAAGGUAAUGACAAGAGUAGUCCUAAAUCGACCAAAGAUACUAAACUAACAGUCCUGUAGCUAAAAUGAUCAUCUUUAUUUACAGUGUAGUCUUUUUUUUCGAGGAACAACAGUGGUACUGUAUUCCAGAGUUUGGUGGGACGGCCAAUCCAAAAUAAAAUAGAAAAAACUGGCGGCUCUGCAGUGUAAUUGAUCCAUGAUUUUGAACUUGGAUAUAAGUGCUUCAAUGGAGACCUCAUCUAUAAAUCAUGAGAAUUUCUACGAAUAGAUCGUGACAGAUCUAAAAUUUGAAGAACCGGAGAGUGACGGAGGGUGUACUCGUUUGGAGAGUGGGGAGGCGGUGGUGACAGUAGAGAGAUCUGAGGCCUUCCGAAGCCGGCGAUGGCGGCUAGGAUGCGUCUCUGAGGCCAUCGGCGAAGGCGGCGGUCGCCGGCCUGCCGGCCGGUCGGCUUGCGGAAAGGGAACGAUGGGUGGGUGCGAGCUGCGAGCUUGCGAGGGGCUUGGAGCCUUGGACGAUUGGACUUUGGACUGGGCCCGGACAGGUGUGUUUGGUUGGGGUGUGGUUUUUGGAAAAACUGCUGUGAGCUAUGAGCUGUGUAAAAGCAGCUGUAGGAAAACUAAAAGACCGUUUGGUUAGAGGAGCUGUGAAACUGUAGGCUGUAGACUGUGUAAGAAAUAUUUGUAAUACCCCUAAAGUGUGUUUAUAUGCAAAUUGCUCAUAACAAAAUAAAGUGUUCACUAAUUCGCACGUAAAUUAUUAUUUUAUUAAAAAAUAAAUUUUAUAUAUUCUUCAUCCAUUAAAAUGAUUGGUCCACAUAAAUCCAUCAAAAGUUUUAUACAAUAAUGACAUCUGUCAAUAUUAGUUGCGCAAAUACUUCGUGAAACUUCAUGUGAACCGUCCAAAGUGACCAUGUGAAAUAGUAAUCCUUUUUUUCCUCUUUUGUUACAUCUCCAAGCAAAUUAUGGUCGUCACAGAUAAAAAUGGCAACGGGUAAAACCCGCGCGGAUAUACAAACCACAAACCCGCACCCGCGACAAUAUAUCCGCGCCCGCACCCGCGCCCGCCACCCGCCACGGGCAGCACUAUGCGCCCGCGCCCGCUAUCCGCGGGCAUAUUUUGCUCGCGGGCAUGCCCACAUACCCGCCAGAAGUAUAAAUGGAUGACAUUUAACAUAUAAAUAGAUCACAACGUUCAUAAUCUCAAUUCAUCACAAUCACAAAUCACACAGCAUAGUUCAAUAGUUCACCAAUCACCACGGUCCACACAUUCAACAAUACAGUACAGGACUACAAGCCUACCAUACAACUAAUACAAGUACACAUUGUUCAACUGCAAACAGCUUAAUGAAUCAAAGAAGAUGGAUGGUUAAUCCUUCUACUGCUGUCCUUUUUCGCAGUAGUUAGAACUGUCUCUUCAUCUUUCAGAUCUUCUUCAUUGUCUUUAAGGCAUGACCAAAAGCUAUUGAACCUUCCAUCACCCUCAUCUACAUCCAAGUUCAAACAUUAGUAGCUGCAGUAUACAAUCCAUGUAUUAAUGAAAAGAAUUCAUUGUAAAUGCACAUUUUUAUACCUUUGAGGUUGUGACGAAGCCAACUUUGACUGCACAUCAAAGCUUCCAACAUUUUAGGAGUAAGACGACUGCGAUGCUCACUUAAAACCCUCCCACUAGUACUGAAAGCCGAUUCAGAAGCUACUGUGGUGAUUGGAAUAGCCAAAAUGUCACGAGCAAUUAGCCUCAAAGUAGGAUAACGAGCUCCCUCCAACUUCCACCAGCCUAGGAUAUCAAAAUAAUUAUUCUCAUCAUGAGGAAGAGUUUCCUCUUCAAAGUAGCGAUCAAGCUCAUUCUUACUUCUAACAAAGCUUGUAGUCCUCUUAUUUGCAGUAAGGGUUUUAAAUAUGGACAACACAGCAGCUGCACUAACUGUAGAGGGGGCACCAGCAGAGAAUGUAGCCACAUUGUCUUGGUAUGUCACAUGAUAAUGUUUCAUUAAACUAGUAAGUAAUUCCUGAGCCUCUGUAACAUAUUUUCCAGCAGCCUCUUCUCCAAAAAGAGCAAUAUAGCAAGCAUGUAACAUUGUCAUCUUAAGACGUGGAUCAAGAAUAACAGCAACAGCCAUAAGACCAUGGAUGUCAGCCCAAUACUUAUCAUACUUUUCUAUCAUGGCAGCAGACAUGUUCCUAAUAGUUUCAUCUUCAUCAUGACCCCAAGAGUUGAGUUUAAGUUUAAUCUCACAUACUUUAGGAAAGAACAGGUUAGCUGUAACAUAUUUUGUCCCAGAAAAUAACUCAGUAAGCUCAUAGAAUAUCCCUAAUUUCUCACAAACAUUAGUAGCAAAUGUCCAAUCAUCUGCUGCUGGACAAUCAUAGUUCCUAUCGAGCUCACCCAAACGUUCAAAAACCUUCCUAUAAGGUAUAGCAAUGCUAAGCAUGAUGUAGGUUGAGUUCCAUCUAGUUUUGCAGUCUAAAUGCAACUUCUUGUCCAAUUCAACAUUUUCAUCUAGAGCAGUUUUCUCAAACUUUUCGUACCUUUUUGGAGUAGCAAUCCAAUAAGCAACACUUUCUCGGAUGUGCGCAACUGCAGUUCCAAUUACUACCAUGCCAUCUUUCACAAUGAGGUUGAGAAUAUGUGCACAACACCGCAUGUGCAGCCAUUUUCCUUUCAAUAGCAUAUUAGCCGCCCCAAGCCUUGUGUCCAUUAAGCCAAUCAUGUUAUCAUUGGCACUGCAAUUGUCAAGAGUCACAGUUGAUACCCUCCGAUUAAGAUCCCAACUCUGCAGGCAUUUAUGCAAUGCAUCACAAAUAACCUCUUCUGUAUGGGGGCAUGACACAUACAUAAACCUACAUCAAACAAUGCAAUAAUUCAGCUAAACAGUUCAUAAAAUGUCCUGGACAGCAAGCAAUAAUUUAGCUGGACAUAAUGAACAUAAUUCUACAAUCUGGACAGCAAGCAGAAUUAAGAUAUUCACCUCAAUAUGCAGCUUCUAAGCGUCCAUGAGUCAUCAAUAAAAUGUCCAGUCACUGCCAUAUAGCCUCUCUUUUGAUUUUCAGCUGUCCAAAGGUCAGUUGUGAUAGCAACACGACAGUUUGUCCUUUGCAAGAUUAUCCUUGCUUUCCUUUUCUCUCCCUCAUAGAAACUCACGAUGUCCCUUCUAAUAGUGUUUCUAGUUGCCAUUUUGAACAAAGGUUGUAAUGCACUAACAAAUUAGGUUCCUGAUGUUGGGGGCCACAGCACCCGCUCCUGGCCUGUCGACUUCACCAUCGAUCCCUGGCACCAUCCACAAGUCGGUGAGCAACUGCAAGCGCCAACAUAAUCAUUGUCUCUGCUACUUACAAAGUAUUCAACAAAGCAUGCAGUGCCUAACACAGCAAUGUGCACAGUCCGUUUAUGUAGCACCAUGUAUAUGAUAUAACGUAAAUUUAACUCCAUUUGUGCAGCUCAUAGUGACAUACCCUUGAGCAUGUCGCUGCACCAUAUGAGCCCGUUCUCACCUGUCCUGCUGUCCAGGAGAAGGAAGGUGGUGAGCUCGGAAAAACACUAAAGUUGUUGAGAUCCUUCAGCCAGGUUAUUGGUGCAUGCAAGUUUACUCAGUGCCAUAACAUGUAAAUAACAGAAUAAAUUUCUUAGGUAUUCCCUCCGUUUUAAAUUAUAGAUCAUUUUAGUUUUUUAGAUGCAUAGAUAUUAUUAUGCAUCUAGACAUAGGGUAUAUCUAAGUGUAUAACAAAGCCUAUGAAUCUAAAAAGCCAAAACGACCAUAAUUUGGGAUGGAGGAAGUAGCAGAGAACUACGAUAGAGAGGAGCAUAUUUUCUUAGCAGCUUUGAGUAAUUAAAUUUAGCAGAUGGUACCUUAUAACUGUCAUGGUUCGCAAAGCAUUCUAGCUGCAAUCUUUCACUACAGUACACAGAUCAAUAAGCUUGAUUGUUGAACUUCCAGAUCCUACAAAGUUAUUCUGUGCGGAGGUGUACAUCUAUAUCUUGAGUAUUUGAGAUCAGCCACAUAUUGUUAGCUCCGCAAAAGUGAGCAUAGCUAGGUACAUUGUCACAUUAAUUUUCUUUUCUACUAAUAAGUGUGCAUUAAAUAGUGCGUAAAAGAUCACAACAAUUGUUCCUGUCGCUUAUUCUCAACCGUUUGCAUUUCAAAGAAGUCAAUCUCUGAAUCUACUUGGAGGACAUAUUUACAGGACAACACAAAUUUAGUAUGAGAUGACGAAAAGCUAAUCCAUUCAAGCAUGUUUAUAUGGUUUGAUGACAUAGGAUUAUGUUUCAUGUCAUACGAAAAGCAUGAAGAUAGCACUUAGGAUUGGGGGAAAUUAGAUUAACAACUCCUCAAAGAGUCAAGUCCAUUGAUUUGUUGAUCUUCCUACGCAAAUUGUUCGCUUAAAAUUUACAGAAAAGAUACAGGCCCACUCCUGCCAAGCCUGCCUUUCUAGUCACUUAUAUAUUGCAUAUCAUCCUUCCUAUCAGAGUCCCCCCCUCACUUUUAUUCUUCUCACCUUCUCAAAACUGAGCCGCAGCUUCUGAAUGAAGGUUGAACGUGAAAUUGACCGUGUAUGCUGGAGCCUUUUCUAAUUAGUAUGUGUGUGAUAUAAGCAUGCUAGCGCCCACAACAACGAGAAAAGCCAUCAUAAGUGGUUUUUGUUCCCUUCAUAUAUUUUCUUUUUGGCAUUUCAUGAGUCAGAAUCACAAAUGAUCCCAAACGAAAGAAACCUUUACAGAUGAUUUUUUAGGAAAAUCAUAAAAAAAGGUUUGUAAAGGAAGUUUAAGAACAAGGAUAACCUUUCAAAAAAAUUAUAGAUAAACUUCUCUAAAAAUUCAAAACAUUUUUAAACAUAGUUUUGCAGAUUUUUUUCAAAGAAUUAGGAAAACUUAUGCAAACACAUGUUUUCUAAGACAAAAGUGUUUGACAAAACUUUUUUGAAGAAUCUUUAAAGAGAAUAUUUUAUAGACUUUCAAGAAAAAGGACUAAAAGAGAAAAAUAAUAGAAGAAAAAAAAUCAGGGGGUCAACAGCACUUCCUCCCACCUUGGAACGAGGCACUGCAUGGCACCGCAACUCGUGUUAGCCCUGUUGCAACCGCUUGCGAGCCUUGCAUCGCGGCCUUCGGUGGUUCACUGUGGCCGCUCAUGACUUGCCGCUCGUAGGCUCUCAUAGAACAAUACCAUCCCCCACCCAUACAUUCUAUUUAAGAGGAGGGUAGACCAUAUUUGUUUUCGAAGAACAUGGGGAAGAUCCCCACCUACUAUUUUCCAUUGAUCCAAAGAAUCUGGCUCAUUACAAAAUGUAUAUCCUACCAUACUAGGAUGAGUUUGCAAGGUGCGAAAAAGGAUGAAGAUUACAAACGAGUAUGAAGGUAGUCACGCCAACAACCAGGGUGAGGUUUGUUUCUUUUGUACCCACAGUUCCAGGUGUCCAGAUUGCUGAUCGUUUGGCGGAUAACAUCACAUGAUGAUAGGAAUUUAUGGUCAAAGAUCAAGGCAUUUCGUGCUUUUCAAAUAUGCCAAAGCAGUAGCAGCAUCACAUCCAAGUGGACGCUACGGGAGGGAGAGUUCCUUUCCCACAAUCUGCGGUCUUUUGUGCUCUCUAGGUUGGGGUAGAGGAUUCCGACCAGAGACCACACAUUCUUAGCGCUUGGACAUUGAUGAAUGAAGAUGUGUUCCUUUGUCUCAAGGUCUCUUCGACAUUGUUCGCAGUUGGAUUCCUCAGGUCCCGAAUGUGUUGAUGGUAGAGAUACGCACGACUUUUAGUCGCCCAUGAUGCAGAAGCCAGCCAAAGAAUUUAACCUUUGCCAGUGUCGGUAGGCGUUUGGGUUUUGGAUAUUGUCACAGUUCAUAGCAUCGUAGGCUCCUCUAGAGCUGAAGUUGCAGUUAUGUGUAUUCACGUGUGUUCGCACUGAUCGAUUGGAAGUUUCAAAAGCACCGGUCAUCAUAUCUGACCAUAUAGAAGGCAUGUCAAAAAAUAGUGAUGGUGGUGGGUUUUGCAUGGUAAGACCUGUUGCAGGAUGAACGCUUCAAUUGUUUUUGUCACGAACCAUUUACGAUGACAAAGCUAGUUUCGUGGUUAGCUUCCUCACACUACGCUUUGUGAAAUGCGUUUUAAAAGAGCACGCUUCAUGCGCAGGAUGAGCGAUGAAGGGAAAGCCCAAACUUGGAGUGGCUGGCCAACAAAAAGCAGAGCCGGAGAAUAUGGAAGAAGUCCAUAUUACACUCCUCAUCUCUUCCUGUGGUCUAAAUUUCAACCCCCAACUACAAAUCCGUCUAACUAACCUCCUCAAACUGCGCAAACCAGGCACGCGACCCCGAGCCCGGUUUCGAUGCCCCCCUAUGGCCCUAUCCAUCCCAAGGUGGUUUCUAUGCUAAUUUUAGCUGAUGUGGUUGUGGGACCCACCCCUCUCCCUCCUCUCUCUCAGCUAAUGCACCAGCCCCUAUGCCCUUGUCCCUUCCUCAUCUCUCUCUUCCCUCCCAAUCCAUAGAGUCGUCGCCUCCCUCUCCCCUCCCUGCAGCGUCGCCGCUACCCUUUCCCUCUAGCAGUGCUGCGUGCAAGAUCAAGCCGGAGGUCCGGAGCCACCGCGCGCGAACGCUGCACGGCACUGAGGCGUGAAGCCCCUAGCCCCACAUCGUACGUCGCUUUCAUCCUGUCCAACACUGCGCGCGACCGGCGAAGCCCCAAGCAAGUAGUAAACCAUAGCCCACAGGGCAACGCCGCCGCCAUGUGUUCGCGUGUUCCGAUGCAAAGGGGCCGGCGGCCGGCACGCCAUGGCAAGGCGGUGGCGGACGCAGGCACAUGGGACGCGCUAACUUAGGCCAGUACGAUAGCUAGAAAGGAAUCAAUGGCAAUUGGGGAUUGGUCGUCCACGUACGUGUGCCUGGGUACGGUUGUUACAUUUGCCCAGCGUUGGAUUGGAUUGGGGCCUAGGAGUAGGAGGAGGGGAGAAGAGGAGGAAGAAAGUAAAAUAGAGGAGGAGGAAUAUGUUGCAACAAAACAAAGGAUUGGAUUGGGGGCCUGCAGCUGCUCCUCAGCUGCAACAGGACCCUCCUGAUCGCCGGCUCAGCCCGAGGCCGACGACUACGGCGGCUUGCUACGUAGGCAGCGGGACGCAGCAUGGCUGCGCCCAACUCGCGACGGCAGCCCUACUAGUGGCACAGCUGCGUGAUAGGCAAUGACGGUAGCGUCCGCCCACCCAUGGCGGCGGCGAGUGACAUCAGGAGCAAUGAUGGCGGUCUUUGCCGGUCGUGGGCGACAAACCACCUUGGAUGGAUAGGGGCAUCGAGGCGGAGGGGAGGGCGUAUGUCACGUGCCUGGUUUGCGCAGUUUGAGGGGUCAAUUAGACGGGUUUGUAGUUGAGGUUUGAAAUUUAGAUCAUGGGAAGAGAUGUAAUCUGAACUUCUUGCUAAGAAUAUCCACGCAUCAAGAUCAAGGCUCAAGGUGAGCCCUGACCCGGAGGCGAAAUUUGUUACAGUACGCAUUUUUGCAUUCAAACCCCCGGUGCCCAGACUGUCUCUUGGAUGGUCCUGACUCCUGACAUUGUUGGCAGAGGAGAAAUGCCAAACGAGCCUGUAUGAGAUGGGGUCCUCCUGUACUUGUGCUUUUCUUUUUUCGUUCUUUCUUUUUUUUUUGAUGAAAGUUUAUACUUGUGCUUUUCUUUCCAGGCCUCUUCGCCCGUUUGUCUGGCUGGCUGGUGGUUUGGGCGAGUUCGCGACUUUCACGGUGACGGGCGUGUCGCACCAAUGUGGUGAAUUGACUUUUCUUGUACAGUGCAUAAUUUUAUGAUUGUAUGAAAAGACAUACGCAUCGAGCCAUCGAUGGCCUCGAUAGGUAUAGGUAUUUGGUAUAGAUCACCCUAAGGUCGUACGGUAAUAUAACUUGCCAUGCCACAUUUGCCUAGUAUGUAAAGUGCUAUACCAGCAACCAGGGAUACAAUUCCAAAAUACUGUACUACCAAGGCUAUUGACACUAGAAUCUCGAGUUGUCAGCGGUCAAAAAGAAAUUCAAGAGGUCGGUAAAAAAUUGUGCAAGAUCCGUGCUACUUUCUGACGGAAUUUUUGACCCAGUUUUCAGAAUUUAGUCUUUACGCUGGAGUAUGUAUAAAAUCGCAAAGAUCAUAUCGAAUCACUGAACACCGGCUAGAUUGCAUGCAACGUUACAUUGCCACUCACUUCUUUGAGUUGAGCACCGGAGCGUGCACGGAACGGAAUGUAAACGCGUGGAGCAAUCCUGAGCGUUGUAUCCCGAUCUAACCGUUGGAAGAAAUAUCUCCGCGUGACGCGGUGGAUGCGUGAGGUGCCCCUCUCGUGCUCUCGCUACUAAAAGUUGUGUUCACUUUUUUUAUGUUUUUCUUUUCAAACAAGACUUGCAAAAGCAGGAGGGAGUACAGGCUACAAGCUGUAUACGGCUACACCUACUCCUGCCAAAAGGCCUGGCCGCCUGGCCUGCAGGCUACAGCGCCUGCUCUUCUACCCGUCGCCUUGGCGGACACGAAAGCUCCUCCAACGACCAAUCGGGGUUCGCCGGCUUGUCCUCUCGGCCAGUGUGCCCAGACCGGGCCCAAUUGUCAUUGACCAAGUUUUAAUUUAGGCCGUGUUUAGUUGGGGAAUUUGGGAGGUGCCAAAUUACUGUUACAGCACUGUAGCACACUGUAGCGUUUCGUUUGUAUUUGUGAAUUAUUGUCAAAUAUUGACUAAUUAGGCUCAAAAGAUUCGUCUCGCAAAGUACAACAAAACUGUGCAAUUAGUUUUUAAUUUCAUCUACAUUUAGUACUCCAUGCAUGUACCGCAAGUUUGAUGUGAUGGGGAAUCUUCUUUUUGCAUAGUGUCAAAGUUGGGAGUUGGGAGUAACUAAACAUGGCCUUAGAGGGUAGAAGUGCAUGCCUGAUCUGUCUGGUGAGGGCCCGCAUGACCGUGACCGCCGUGCACACUGCACAGUAGUUUCAAGUUUUACUGUAACAUGGAGCAGUGGAAAUAUUUUACCAGGAACUUUUACAACCUGAGGAGUAAAACUUUUACCGUGCAGUUACUGAAGCCAUACGAAGUACCAGUAUAAAGUAUUCCCUAGUGAAAAAAAAAAGAUGCCAGCCAGACUUCCAGUACGUAGAUUUUACCAUGGGUGCGGCGCGCUGGCUCGGAUGGAAUUCGAUAGCUUGGAACGCAAUGCGCUGUUCCCCCGUUCCAAGUUCCAACGGACCACUCAAUUGUUCAGGAAGUCUAGGAGUCCAACAUUUUACAUUUCAUUCACGGCUUUUCGACUUGAUGGUUACAAAUAAGCAUACUAACAUUUCCGCUAGCAGAUCGUGAAUCGAAGAUUUUUUUACGCACGCAGUAAGCCUAAGCCAUCUCACCUCGUGUGGGCAGUAGCCAGACUGAUCUCCAUCUUCCCCCCGGUAACAACUUUUUACCAAAGACAUGUUGGAGGAGAAAGUCGAGAAGGGGAUGCCUUCUUGGUAGGUCCCACCUGCAUCUCCCAGCUCCCGCAUUUCGCGGCAGAGGCUUGUAGGCCCUACCCACACGUCCGCAAAGCGUGAUCUCUAAUUUUGUCCGUUUUGGACGAAAAGCAUGGGUGAGAGCCCGGAGAAACAUAACAAUCCAACCUACCCUGUCUUUUUAGGAAUUCCAAUAAGCAUGAAAGUACUAUUCUUGGGAGGACUAACUCGUAAAUAAUCUAAAAGGUAGGGCUCAUCUGCAUAAGCCAUUGCACUGCCAGCCGGCACGCCGUCACGCCUUCUUCCAUUACAAAACCUCUUCUCCCCUUCUGGCCAGGAUUACUCCCAACUGCGUUGGAAAAACCCCAAACCACCACCGCCACCGCCAAUCCACCACUACCAAACCACCACCGCCACCACCAAUCCACCACUAUCAUUCCUCUCCCAACUCCGGCCAUGUCCUCGCUACCGCGUGUAGGGCGCGAUGGGGUCAGUGACUCGUCAUCGUCCUCCGACGGGCCUCUACAGCUUCACGUUUACGAGGACGGCGGCGCCCUCCGCAGCUUCAUCGUCGACAUCUCCAACCGUCCUCGCCAUGAGCGGGUCCUGCUCCCUGCCGGCGAGCCGUCUCGCGUUUCCCCCCUCGUCGACUACCUCAGCCGCGGCGUCGGCGAGCCGUCUUCACGCAGUGGACGCCGCCUCCGCGUCGUCUCCGACCGUAGGAGGCCUGCUCCUCGUCAGGCUCGCCAGCCCGCAGUCCGCGCGCCUCCCGCCGUGGUGUGCGUGAACCCCCGCGGGGCCACCCCGCGCCCGGCUGCGUCAUCGUCCUCCGACGGGCUUCUACAGCUUCAAGUUUACGAGGACGGCGGCGCCCUCCGCAGCUUCAUCGGCGACAUCUCCAACCGUCCUCGCCAUGAGCGGGUCCUGCUCCCUGCCGGCGAGCUGUCUCGCGUUUCCCCCCUCGUCGACUACCUCAGCCGCGGCGUCGGCGAGCCGUCUUCACGCAGUGGACGCCGCCUCCGCGUCGUCUCCGACCGUAGGAGGCCUGCUCCUCGUCAGGCUCGCCUGCCCGCAGUCCGCGCGCCUCCCGCCGUGUUGUGCGUGAACCCCCGCGGGGCCACCCCGCGCCCGGCUGCUGCUGAAGACACCAUGGCUUCCAGGGAUGACCUCGUCGGCGUCUACAAGGGUGGCUGCCUUCUGUACCUCACCCACCGCCGUACCUUCAACCAGGCAGACCAUCCAGGCGUUACCCUCUCAUGGCGAGUGGGCACGACCCCUGACGGCGACGACUACGGCGAGAUCGUCAGGCGUGCACGCUCGCACUCAUUGCCCGGCCGCUGCGGAGCGGAGGGCGCCAGCCGACACGGUGUCCAUCGCUCACCCUCAGCUGGUGAGCCACUCAACCUCUACCGUCAACCGGACGGUGCUACGAGUGGUAAUGGUGUGGACUCUGCUAAAGGUACCGUUUACCCCUGUGAUUUCCAUGAUUCUUACAGUUUAAGUAGCCUUACGGGUUUCAACUUUUUGGUGCCAGUGGCAGUUUGAAUCUCUAGCGUUUUAAAAAUGAAUCCUAACAUUUUAGGCCGCAAUCACAAUUACAAUUGUGCGGUUGAGUUUGUAUCAGACAAAUUUGUUGUGUGGUGAGGUCUAUUGCAAAUGUAAUGGGUUCAGAGAGGAGUUCAAGGUUAUGUUGGCAGUUGUAGUACUAAUUUCUUUCAUUUUUUUAGAAAAAAAGGAAACAUCCAAAAAGGGCUUUCAUGCAUAUGCAAGAAAUGUAUGUCCAUACUGCUUUCAUAAAUGGAUUUUUCACCUAUAGAAAACUUUGGUCAAAGUCACUAAUAGCACCAAACAGGAACCAUGUGCAGUUUUUGCUUGCAUUGUAAUACUACAGUGAGCUUUUCUUGUUCAUUUAUUUUAUAAACUUAGAAGUUCAUGUAUUGCAUUUCUUAUGUAGGUAUGCAAAUCUUUGUUCCUAAAAUCAACGACAAGCAAAAGUUCCCUCAGGUUGGUUGCCACUUUCUAAUAUGUGUUAAGGCACUAGGAUGCAUAUUGACAAUAACUAUAUGUCUGGUGGUAAGCUAAUAUUACUCAUUACUUAAUCAGGAUGGAACAGGAGAUAUAGUGGAGUCCUUUGGUAAAUUGAAGCUGUCUGAAGGUACGUCAUACAUGCCUUUGUUUAAGAUAUGGAUGCAUUCAACUGUAACCAUUCAACUUAUGUUUUCAUAUUCGCUUGCUAUCAUAAAUAAAUGUGGAUCUGUGUAAUAUGGUGACUCUGACAUGUUUGUAUAAUUAUUGUAUACCAUGAACAGUAAAGAAAGAAUUACAGAAGAUGGAAAAGAACUUCAUACAUCUCAUAGAGUCAGGUGACAAGGCCAUGGAGAGGCAGCUAGUUGAUGCAAUACAUUCCCUAUCAGACAACCAAGGUAUUACUCGGUAUUCUUAUUUAGUUGUUACAUUAGUUGUUACUGAACAUUAAUGACGACUUAUUAUAUGUAGCUUGGCUGGAAUAUAUGGAGCUGUCUGAUCCAAGUAGUGAAAGUGAUAAUCUUGAAGCUGAUCCAAGUUAUGAACCGGAACCUGCGAUGAUCAGGAACCUGGUGGUGGUGGUACUGGAGCUACGCAAGGUCAUGAUGAUGAUGAUGAUGAUGAAGAUGAAUAUGACGAUGAAGAUGAAGAUGAAGAUGAAUAUGACGAUGAAGAUGAAGAGGAGGAAGAGGAUGACGAUGAAGAUGAUGAAGAGGACGAGGAGGAAGAGGAGGACGAUGAAGACGAUCUUAACUAUGAUCCAGCACAUGAUGAUGAUGAUGAAGAUGAUGAUGAUGACUACAUGAAUGGACUUGCCCAGCUUCCACCACUGCCUCCGGGCACAUAUUACUGGAACGGUAUCACCAUGGUGGACCGUAUUGGUGCCGUACGUGACCUCAACCCUGAAUUCCACAUCCUGGGCUUCGGUUCCAAUCUUACCAUUCAUGAGAGAAUUAGGUUGUGGGCGACUGGAGACACAAUGGGUUUUGAUUUCCAGCCUACUGAGAUGUUAAGGUAUGUUUGGCGGUUAGAGUUGCUGCUGAAUGGGGAGAACCCAGGGAACCUAGCUCACUCUGUGAAUGAGCCUCCUGUUCCUAACCCUGGUGACUAUGAUGAGGGUUGGACAACAGACGAAGAAAUGGUUUUCAGUGACAUGGAAGAGGAAGACUUAGACCUGGAGAAUGGCAGCAAUGAUAUGGAUGAGGACUGAUUAGCUAGCAGCGAGCCUUAGAUGUGAUUUUGAGUUUAAUGUUGCUGGAUUUUAGCUUCCAAGUCAGUUUGCUACUUGAACAUUAUCGCUUCUUUUUUUUCAUCUUUCUGUAUUUUGGCUUCCAACUCAGUCUGGUACUCGAACACUAUUUCUUAUUUUUGUCAUAUUGCUGAUAUUGACCUCAGCCUGAAUAAUCGAGAAUGAAUAUUUCAAAUAUGGUGUAAGGGACACUUCAUUUCAUGUGGUAAUUAUGCCAAACAAUUUAGUAGGUCAUCAGCUUGUUCAAUGGAAUAAAUCCAAGGUUACAAGUUACAACUCCAUGUGCAGUGAGCUAGUGGCUUGUUCAGAUGCUGAUAUGUUGCAGGUGACAUGGCCGAACCUGCUCCUUUCUUGCAUCAGGCCAGGGCGUCCAUGAUAUCUUAAGUAGAGUUGACCACCAAACUCUUCAAGCUGAGAAUGAGACUAUGUGAGCUAUGUAUGACAUUUGCAUUUUAAGUUAGAGCAAAAUAGCUUGAUGCAAAAUGUUUUGCCUUGAUAAUGCUAUGGUCAUAAGCCUCAGAACAGUAAAAAUAUUCACUUGUGCGCAAGGCAACUUGCCCACGGCGUACCUAGGCAUUCCAUUGCCUUGCCCAUAGCUUAACUAGGUAUUUCCAUGGAUUUGAAUGGUGUUCUCCGGAGUCCAACCUCUUGCUCUCCAAUGACCAAUUUUCAAAAGGGAAACAAUAUUUGUACCCAUAGGGAUUACCGAGCUUAGAAUUAGUCAGUGAUCAACCAUGAGAAAUGAUAACUAGCACAAAGGAAAACUAUGGGAAAGUACCUCUUUCUCUUUCUCAAGCUCCUGGAGCUGAGACCAAAAGUUAUUAGGUCUACUUGGGUUGCUGCCACCACCACGUCCUUACCCAACUCCACCGUUCCAGCAACUGUCACCACAAAUUUGAUCGAUUUGGAAUCACAAUAACAAAUUAUCUUAUACUUCACCUGCCCAAGUGUUGGCAUUAUAGUUCUUUCCUGAUUAUGAUAAAUUGGGUACUUCUUUUGUUCAGGACUGGUCUCAGUUCUAUCACUUGCAUAUCUACAGUUUUCUGCAUGGUUUUAUAAAAUUUAUGUAUGGGCCUCCCCUCCCCACAAUGUAGCAGUUUUGUUCCUAGGACAUGAAAACAACAGAUAAAAUGGAGAAUUCAGUUAGUAAGACAAAAGAAAAUGUCAAAACAACACACCCAUUGCAUGUAGAAACAAUUUAGGCACUCCAUGAAGCCUGGCUAUAAUUAGCUACAAAAACACACCAUCCAAAAUGAAUAAGAAUCUGAACUGUGUUAAGCAUAUUUAAUUGCAAAAUAUUGACCGAGUGCAAAAUGGCCCAAAUAUAAUUUGGUCAAUACAAAACAUUCAGUAACCAGGAACGAUGACUUUAGAUUUCAAGAGUAAGUAGCACUUACCAGCUUUCAUAUCUUCGCUUGUUCCUUUUCCCGCUAAACAUAACACGCUCAUCCAAUACACCUACAAUAUGAACGUGUUAUAUCUCUUCUUCACAUGAAAGUACAGCUUGAUCUUUUAUAUCUCUUAUGUAACCUAUAAUUCUUCCUAAGAUUUGCUAGCUAACCAUCAAUCUACAAUCAUUCUUGAUGGUUCUAUGACCCAGGCGAAGGCAUAGAAUCAUGCUUGUGUUCAGCAUCAGCUGCCUGAUGAUCCUGUUGCUCCUAUAUUUCAGCUUGGGUAUGGCUACACCAAUGGUCUGUUCUGCAGAAAGAGGGAAACAGGGAGCAGGUGGGAGUCAGCGACUGAGAGCUUCCUUGUUGUGAUGUCGUCUACUGGUUUAGCUUCCUUGAAUCCUUGUUAUUGUUUAUAUGAUGGUGGAGCUGCCGUAGCCCAUCUUCAGUUUAUCUUCUACUGUCAGAUGCAUGUAGCUGUAGUUUCUAACACAGGACUUGCAGUUUUUAUUAAAAAAAAAAAGUUGAACUGGGAAAUGUGUUUUUGCCGUGCUUAGCCUCCUUUCUAUGUUUGGUAAUGUCUUGUCGAGUUUCUACAUGACUGGUGCUAAAGACGUCACCAGCAGAAUCACCUGACUGUGAUUAAAUUCAGUCACAGUUCUGAGAAAAUCCACCCCCCCAUGACAGUACAAGGAUCACACAUCACGCUAAUGUACUCAAUAACCUUCUCUACCCUAUUUCUCCGCAAUAACUUCAACGGGGAAGCAAUAUUGUCACCUAUAGGGAAUUAACAAAUAAUCAACAGUCAAGCAUGAAACAUGAUAACAAAAAAAUAUUAAUUCUGAGGGUUAGGCGUCACCUGACUUCUGAGCAAAGGCAUUGCAUUUAGCAGGCAAGGCAUCGAGUCAACAUUUAGAAUGAGGCAUCACUCAGACUUUUGAUCAAGGACGUUGCAUCUAGUGUAUGAGGCAUUAAACAGGCAAAGGAUUCACUGACGUUGAGAAAUUAGACAGAAUCUUUGAUUCAUAAAGAAUUCAGACAAAAUCUGAAAGUAAGCAUAACACCACCUUGGAGAGAAUGCACCCGACGUCAAAUCCAGGUCCUGCCGAUGGCGCAUCUCCCUCUUCACUAUCACUGUGGUCGAUCCUGCGGUAUAGCUUCCAUGUACCUCCAUGACCACGUAUCCGCUGACUCCCGCGGCAGCCGCCAAGCACCACCUGACCACCGGGACAGCCAAUAACGACGAGGCCUUCAGCUUCAGCCACCGCCGAGCAUCACGAUAUAGCGGAGGCCUCGACCCUCGGCACCUCGCCCGCAGCCUGCCGCACCUCACCUUGGGAUGCGGAGACGACGCCGCUGUACCGGUGCAUGAGGUAGCGGGCGUCGUAGCCGGUAGCGAGGGAGCGGAGGUCGUCGUGGCGGCGCCGCCAGCGCCCGACGGUAGAGGGACAGGGAUGCGGACGCACCUUGGGUCACGAUUAUUUGGGGGCUUGGGUUGGUGCGAGCCGCGGGGAGCCGAGGACGGGACGCUUGCUUGGUGGCGCCGGGGGGAACUUGAAGCUUGUUCUGUUCUCUGUGCGAGACGGGGAAGGGGGGUGUGGACUGUGGAGUAGAGUAGUCAAACUGGAGGACGGGGACGAAUCCCGUGUGGGCGUUUGGGGGUGCAGAAGAGUCAGCCUUUAUUUUUCUUUUUGCUGCUUCUUUGUUUUUCUUUUCACAUGUUACAGUUAAUUUCUGUGUUCCUCCAACAAAGAGUUAAUUUCCCGCGGAGACCUUUCGAAUGGAUACGGCUGGCCAUCGUCCUGCCAGUGCCAACUUAUACAGCACAAAUUGUGGAGAAAAAACACAUGCAUUAUUUCCCUUCUUACAACGUUUUCUUUCAUUGCGAGCUUGCACGAUCGCGUGCAAGUCCGUCGUCGGGUACGAUUGUUCAAUCACUGUCGUCGGGUACGAUUGUUCAAUCAUUAAAGGUAAUUUGGUUGCUCAAUACAGGAAGAUAUCCAAGGUUCAACUAUAUCAGCCCCUUUAUUCAUGGAGAUGGUCAUCAUUCUCCGAAGACUAGUUUUAGCAAACACUAAUGACAACAAUGACUGACUUUCGUUCAAGUUUAGUAAACACUGGAGCUUCACAAACAGGCAUGGUCAUCCACAGGGUAGUCACAAUAAUGCUCUUUUUUAUUUUCCUUCCUUUUUUACAUAACAUCUCCCCAUGAUCACACGGUUUUGUAAACAGCCAUGGAACCGGAGCAUUUAGCUGCAUCCUUUGCAUAGUCAAGCGAAGUCACAACUCACAAGGCGCACACACAUUAUACGGAUAUUCUUCUUAAUUUAAACCAAUUUUAUUGGAACAAGAAAGAAGCCCUCCAACUCAUUCCAGAAUUAUUUGAGGCGGCCAGCGAAACCCAGCCGUGAGGUCAUCGAGCACCUCAGCCCACUCGCACUCGUGCCACUCUCGGCGGUGUGGGACGAUCUGCAGCGCCCCAAGCUCCUGCUCGUCGUCCCUGACAUGCCCGUCGAGCAGGUGAACACGCCUCAGCAAUGGUGAUCUCUUCAUGAUCAGCCUGACAAAGCUGGUUUGCCAUCCUAGUCCUUCGAAGCCGGCCACGACAAGCUCCUUCAGACGACGGUACCGAUCCUGCCGUGCACCAACGUCCAGACUGGCGCAGAGAUCACCAGCACUUCUCUCUUCUGAGCUGUUGUCAAUCUGCAUUCAGAUUUCAGAACAAGUUGGGUUUGCAAUUAUUUCCAAACACUUAAGCGCACCUGUUUUCAGUAAGUUAAGUGGCCAGGAAACAACAUACAUGAACAUGGAAUGACUCCAAGGCUGGUGUUGCAUCGAGCAGUAGGAGAAUCCAUAGUACAUCCCAGUUCGCCGGGACAUUUGCGAUGAACAGCUUCUUGAGCUGACUGAACUCGCUGAGAACAGCAAAUGGUUCGAUCCACAUCUGCAUACACAAAUAUAUAGACAACGGUUUUUACAUGGCAAUGACAGGUUAACACAACUAGUUUGUAUAAGAGAUGAUUACUCACCUGGGUCCCUUUAAACUGCAGAACAAGGCAAUCUAGUUGCGGGGUCCUUUUGAAGAAUUUGCUCGGUGGAUAUGUCCUCCUGGAACCAGAUUCAUCAUCUAUGUCGUUAUCCUCAGUUUGUAAGUAGUCCAAGCUCACACGCCUGAGCUGAGGCACCUCACCAUAGGAUAACUUGGUAGGGCGACCGCGGCAAACAAAAGUUUCAAGACAAGGUAGCGAGAUCAGACAGAUUUUCCCAAAGUUGCACCUGUCCACUUGUAGAUUCUUUAAUUUUGAUGAUGGGGCAAAGAUAAGAAAUUUAGCUCGGUAAAAACUUGAAGAUGCGACCCUGAAAUCAGUUAGCUGCACACAGUUUGCAAGAAUAUCAUUGACCAAUCCAAUAUAUGAAGCUUCACCCAAUGAGAGUUUGGUGAGCCUCUUUGCUGUCAGGCAGUUCCAUGCACAAAUACCCUGGCAAUUGGACAGCGCAAGCCGCUUGAGCCGCAAGUUCCGGUAUGCAUCCAGCUGCUUGAGGUCAUAGUACAGGCAGUAGCCAUCAACAACAAGCUCAAAAUCCUCAACAUCCCACUUGGCAAUGGCUGUGGUGAUCCAUUCAUCAAUAUUCUGAUGCCAACGCCCUAGCAUUUGGAGUCUCAGCUUCUGGACAGGCCGGCGUUGACG